rnacentral:rRNA from 1 species
GACGAACGCUGGCGGCGUGCUUAACACAUGCAAGUCGAACGGAAAGGCCCUGCUUUUGUGGGGUGCUCGAGUGGCGAACGGGUGAGUAACACGUGAGUAACCUGCCCUUGACUUUGGGAUAACUUCAGGAAACUGGGGCUAAUACCGGAUAGGAGCUCCUGCUGCAUGGUGGGGGUUGGAAAGUUUCGGCGGUUGGGGAUGGACUCGCGGCUUAUCAGCUUGUUGGUGGGGUAGUGGCUUACCAAGGCUUUGACGGGUAGCCGGCCUGAGAGGGUGACCGGGCACAAUGCGACUGCGAGACGGACCAGUCUGGUACGGGAGGCAGCGGUGGGGAAUCUUGCACAGUGGGCGGACGCCUGAGGCGGCAGCGCCGCGUGCGGGAUGACGGCCUUCGGGUUAUAAACCGCUUUCGCCUGUGACGAAGCGUGCGUGACGGUAAUGGGUAAAGAAGCACCGGCUAACUACGUG